UUGGCCAGCUUGGCCAGGCUCUCCCUGUGCUCCCUCGUGACCCUGGGGGAGAGAGGAAAGGAAAAGCAGUGUCAUGUGCAGCACAGCCAGAUGUAUUUUCUGUGAAGGACUCUGGGAAAACGAGUGAUCCUCCCCAACUGGGGCUGCCCUGCUCAGGGACACACAAGAGCUGCUGGUUUAGAUGGAGCUGGCUCUGUGUGCAGGCACAGUCUCAGGGCAGAGGGACUGAACAGCUCAGGACACGUUUUUAUUAUGCUUGGGUUCACCUGGGGAAAUCUGCCAGCUCUGCACAGCAUUCCAAGGAAGCAGUCUUGAACCUACAAUGGAAAAUUUCCAGCUCAGCUCUGAGCUGGGGAUCUUGGACUCAAUCUUGCUUUAUAGCUCUUGCUGCAGUGCCUGAAAGUCAUCUUGAAAUGCUCAGACUUUCCUUACUUCCUGCUGCCAAAGCAUGUGUGGGAAAGAGGAAAAAUCCAGCUCCAGGCUUGAAAGAUCAAGUGAAAAGUGUCAUCCUAAAAAGCACAAAACUGCAAAGCCAGGAAGAAAUGUCUGCUCCAGAACCUGGGAUUUGCCUCCCUGCAGCUGAAGAGCCUGAAUUAUGUACCUGGAAGUUAAUGAGCUUAUCUUUCACCUAAUCUGAUUCCAGCUCACCAUGAGCAGGAUUUCCCACCAAGAUGAUGUGAACACCUGGGGUGACAAGAGGAUGCUGCUGGACAUGCGCCGGGGAGUUUCUCAGCGGGUUUUAUGUUCCAGCCAGACUGUGUGUAAAUUCUCAGCAAUGCUACCAAUAAUGCCAGAAACAGAGACUUUUCCAAGCAGAUGCUGUUUCUGGUUAAGGAAUCCAUCAACACGAGCCAGGCCCCAGGUUUCUAAGGACAGUUGUUUUAAUCCUGCCCCGAGAUCUGGGACUUUUAAGCUGUUCUUAGCACUGCAGGCCCCACCCCGGAGAGUGGCAGAGCAGACCCUGAGAGGACAACCCAGCUCAACACAGGACAUUGCUCUGGGUGAGUGGCUGAAACUCCCACAGCCCCAGGCAUGGGACUGGAGUGCCAGGGAGCAGAUCUGGGGCACAGAAUCCUGAACUCAGGAGUGCCCAGCAGCCAGGGAGGGACCAGGAGCUGC